UUGCAGGUCGUGGCUGGCUUCAAUUAUAAGCUCGAAGUAGAACAGGCUGAGGUGAGCUGUGGUUUUCAGCAUCCGCAAUUGCAUGCAGCGUGGAAUCAUCCUAAAAAUCUCGUCUGUUUCACAGGAAAGGUUGUCGCUGUCUGCAACAUUGAAUUCUUUCAUUCACUUAGAGCUCCUACGCCAAAUAUUACAUCAUUUGAGUGCAAGGAGCCAUUGUUUGAAAAAUAAAUACAUG
rnacentral:lncRNA from 1 species